GAUGAACGCUGGCGGCGUGCCUAAUACAUGCAAGUCGAGCGAACGGACGAGAAGCUUGCUUCUCUGAUGUUAGCGGCGGACGGGUGAGUAACACGUGGAUAACCUACCUAUAAGACUGGGAUAACUUCGGGAAACCGGAGCUAAUACCGGAUGAUAUUUUGAACCGCAUGGUUCAACAGUGAAAGACGGUCUUGCUGUCACUUAUAGAUGGAUCCGCGCUGCAUUAGCUAGUUGGUAAGGUAACGGCUUACCAAGGCAACGAUGCAUAGCCGACCUGAGAGGGUGAUCGGCCACACUGGAACUGAGACACGGUCCAGACUCCUACGGGAGGCAGCAGUAGGGAAUCUUACGCAAUGGGCGAAAGCCUGACGGAGCAACGCCGCGUGAGUGAUGAAGGUCUUCGGAUCGUAAAACUCUGUUAUUAGGGAAGAACAUAUGUGUAAGAAACUGUGCACAUCUUGACGGUACCUAAUCAGAAAGCCACGGCUAACUACGUG
rnacentral:rRNA from 1 species